rnacentral:rRNA from 1 species
UACGUAGGGCGCAAGCGUUGUCCGGAAUUAUUGGGCGUAAAGAGCUCGUAGGCGGCUUGUCGCGUCGGUUGUGAAAGCCCGGGGCUUAACCCCGGGUCUGCAGUCGAUACGGGCAGGCUAGAGUUCGGUAGGGGAGAUCGGAAUUCCUGGUGUAGCGGUGAAAUGCGCAGAUAUCAGGAAGAAUAUCCGUGGCGAAGGCGGCUCUCUGGUACGGCACUGACGCUGAGACGCGAAAGCGUGGGGAGCGAACAGG